rfam:Nicotiana attenuata strain TT chromosome 5, whole genome shotgun sequence.
GAUAACAGGCUGAUCUUCCCCAAGAGCUCACAUCGACGGGAAGGUUUGGCACCUCGAUGUCGGCUCUUCGCCACCUGGGGCUGUAGUAUGUUCCAAGGGUUGGGGCACCGCCCGGGGUAUUUCUGUGAGUCCUCACUCCUCAGAAGAGGGGCU